CGCGCAGGCGGCUGGUCAAGUCCGAUGUGAAAGCUUCCGGCUUAACUGGGAAAUUGCAUUGGAAACUGAUCGGCUUGAAGGUGGGAGAGGGUAGCGGAAUUCCCGGUGUAGUGGUGAAAUGCGUAGAUAUCGGGAGGAACACCAGUGGCGAAGGCGGCUACCUGGCCCAUUCUUGACGCUGAGGCGCGAAAGCUAGGGGAGCGAACG
rnacentral:rRNA from 1 species